AAAGAACUAAGAGAGCUUUUCGGGACCAGGAUUUUCCUUUUCCAGCACAAGCAAUGGGUAGUGAAAAUACUUUGAACUUUUUGGCAUAUUGGAUGUGACCUUUUCUUGGAAGGGCAAUAAGCUGUAGUCUUGUAGAUAUUUGUGGCUUAAAAAGAAGACAAUUGAGAAUAAUACUUGCUUUGUUGAAAGAAAAUAAAACAAAUACAAAUAAAACCUCAUCAAAAUGAAAGCAUCUCCAAUCUCAUUUUGUAUAUGGUAGAGAAACCCUUCUAAAGAUCAAAAAAUGGAGCAUUAGAAGGAAUCCAUGAGAACUAUUCUACUAAGAAAGUAUGCUGCACAACAGUCUUUAAAAGUU
rnacentral:misc_RNA from 1 species